AAAGAUGUUAUUUACACAACUAACAGAAAGAGUAAAGUUUUUAUAGAAAAAUCAAUUAAGAUUAAAAUAUUAAUGUUGUCUUGUUUGACUUUUUGUGUUUGAAAAUUUGGAAGAAAAGUGCAACUAAAUGUGGACUUUAUUUGGUUUGAUGCAGACCAAAAUGUUUAUAAAGUUUACUUUUCAGUGCAGUUUCAUUACACUUUUAUAUUUAAUCAUCCGACUCAUCUUUAAUAUUCAAUAAAAUGCAUUGAGUCUUCUGUGUUAGGCUGUAAUUAUUAAUCAUCUCACCUUGCACACUAAACAAAAGCUGUGAUAAAUCAUGACUUACACUUUUAUUAAUACUUACAAUAUAUCUAAUCUGUUAAAAACAUUUACUUUUAUUUUCGUAUUUACUUCCUCAUUGGUCAUGUGAUGUCUAAUCUUAGAGUACAUAGCGAGUCUGAACUGAAUGUAUUUACGAAGUACAGAGACAAAAACAAAUUUGUUGCAGUUUAAUUUCUCCAUGAACAGGUAUGAUGGUAGAGGGACAUCUUGGGGGAAACGCCAGCAUCCAGUGUGAAACUGAAGACAAGAAUCAGGAUGGGGUUUACAUGUAUAGGCAUAAACCAGAAGAAAUAAAACAACAGAGAAUCUUCUACUAUUACCAUGAUGGCACUUUUACUUUUAAUGAAGAUGCAAAUGUUGAAAUAAUAAGAAGUGGUACAUUUCCCAACAUCACCAUCACUUUCUUCAACCUGACUGUGACAGACAGCGCCCACUACUGGUGUGAAUUCAAUCAUGAAGAAAGAAUCACGUUUAGCAUGAUCACAUGGUUAUGGGUUAAGGAUCCUGCUGCAUACAAAGCAGACAGAAACACAGAAGAUUGUACAGACAAUUGCCUGCGCUGUAUUUAGCGUCAUAUUUCUAUUGUGCAUCAUCGGUGUGAUUGUGAAGGUGAAGAGACGCCGUAAUUAUGAACCAGAGUCCUCGGGUCUAUGAAGAGAUGAGGAGAAGCAAACG